rnacentral:siRNA from 1 species
UACUGUUUCGGAACUGCACUAUCA